CUGGAGGCCCCCUGACUGCCGUUGAAAGACGUUGGCUACCCUCCCCCCGCUCCCCGGCUUCCUGCCUUUGGGUUCACUGCUCCAGGUUCAUGUGUCGCUGCGGACCCCCCAAUCGGAACUGUUGCCAAGGAUUUGGAAGACUGCGCUCCUUGGUUUGGAAGUAGCCUUGGCUGAGACCGGGUUCUUUGGAAACAGACAAGGUCCCAUUUGAGGAGAAUCUUUAUAUAAAAGAUGAAAGGACCCCCCCUAAAGACACUGAGAGGGAGGGCCUCCUGAUACAGCACUUGGCUUAUCUUCGUAAGGAGGGCAAGACUGGCUUUGUGGCCAAAUACAGGACAGAUGGGUUCUGACAUGUGGAGGUUUCUUUGAAAUGGUGCAUUUCUAGUCAUUGAACAAAUGGUGCCACUAUAUGCUGCACCAAAUAUAUAUAUGCAUAAAAAUAUUCUUGCACUAUCUGCUGUGUCCGUGUACAUACUUCAAAGUGAACACUAGGGCGUUAUAAUAAAGUGCACUUUUGAGGA